AGUGAACGCUGGCGGUAGGCCUAACACAUGCAAGUCCAACGGCAGCACAGUAAGAGCUUGCUCUUACGGGUGGCGAGUGGCGGACGGGUGAGGAAUACAUCGGAAUCUACUUUUUCGUGGGGGAUAACGUAGGGAAACUUACGCUAAUACCGCAUACGACCUACGGGUGAAAGCAGGGGAUCUUCGGACCUUGCGCGAUUGAAUGAGCCGAUGUCGGAUUAGCUAGUUGGCGGGGUAAAGGCCCACCAAGGCGACGAUCCGUAGCUGGUCUGAGAGGAUGAUCAGCCACACUGGAACUGAGACACGGUCCAGACUCCUACGGGAGGCAGCAGUGGGGAAUAUUGGACAAAGGGCGCAAGCCUGAUCCAGCCAUACCGCGUGGGUGAAGAAGGCCUUCGGGUUGUAAAGCCCUUUUGUUGGGAAAGAAAAGCAGCAGGUUAAUACCCCGCUGUUCUGACGGUACCCAAAGAAUAAGCACCGGCUAACUUCGUG
rnacentral:rRNA from 1 species